CAUUCUAUAAAUAUGAGUUCCUCCUAUAUGCUAGUUUUGGGGAACAUAAAAAUAGAUGUAGAAAUACGAUCUUUGCUCUCUGUGGUAGUAGAGAAUAAUAGCUUAAUUUGGAUUAAUCAUUCUGAGGAGCUUUUUGCUUUUAUACUUAAAUUUUAUCUGUGAGUUUUGCCAAGUUGGUAAGUUUUUUUGUUUUUUCUUUUGCCAGGGGAAAUCUUAAGACUUUAGUGUUCUUGCAAUUUUAGAGCCUUUAGGAGCUUUCUGAUAACGUGGCAGGAAUCAGAAUGUUUUAGCCUUAACAGUCUUACAGUAUUAUUACUUUUGAGUUGUUUGAAUUUCUAGAACUGAAGUGACAAUAAUCUUGUAUUAUGUCUUUCCCUUUUGUUUCUCUAAAGGUCUCCCAGGCUCUGUAGUUCAUUCCUUUAUACCUUCCCUUUCAGAAUGCCAGUGGUUUUAGUCACCAGUCAUGUCAUCCUGAUUAUGACAUAAGCUCUGCUGGUUAAAUAACAGUUUUAUGAGUUACAGCCCACUUAGUAAUGUCCCUGUUUAUUGCAUUUAUAUUUUGUGUCCAAGGAGUUAUUCCUUGUGCCUUGAUACUUUCAUGAAAUCUUUUAAGUGCCAAUAACAAAUUCUAGACCAUCUAGAUGAAAUGAGAUAGAACUUGUGUGCUGUUUUUAUACAUCACUGUUGAUUAAGGUUUGAGUUAUCAGAAGAUUUAGUUUUAUUUGCAUAUAGAUUCUUGAUUUCAUUAGAAAGAUGGCACAGAACAGAUAGCUUUUCUUAAACUACUGGUUUCUGAAUGUUUCUGUUGUCUUAGAGUCAGG
rnacentral:lncRNA from 1 species